rnacentral:RNase_P_RNA from 1 species
ACUACAAACCGGGUUAUCGCUUCCCGACCUUUGGACGGGAGGAGGAAAGUCCGGACAGCGCAGAGCAAUGUACCGGUGAAGAGCCGGGUUCGAAAUGGUGGGUGGCAACAUCUAUCAUGGCGAAACAGAUAGUGCCACAGAAAAUAACUGCCGCACUCCGGUGCGGUAAAGGUGAAAACGUAGGGUAAGAGCCUACGGUGUUGUACAGUAAUGUACAGCAGGGGUAAACCUUAUAUGCUGAAAUGCCAUGUAUACCAACGGUCGAGGGCUGCUCGUCCAAUCCUGGUCUAACAGCCGGGAACGUUGGGUGGGUAGGCAGCAAGAGCCUGUCAGUAAUGCCAGGCCCAGAUAAAUGAUAACCAUAUCCGUUGCGGUGAAAACCGGGGCGGGUAACAGAAUCCGGCUUACAGGUUUGUAGUUAUU